rnacentral:rRNA from 1 species
UGUUCAACUCUUUAACAACAUGAAAAAACCAUUGUUCAACUCUUUGACAACAUGAAAAACCAAAAGCUCUGCCCUCCCUCUCUAUCUAUCCAAGGGAUGGAAGGGCAGAGUCCUUUGGUGU